GGUCUGUGAUGGACAGUAAAAGGUCUGAUUAUCCGAUGGGUGCUCAUCCCUGACCCCAGCUCCCAGCAGUGUCUCGCUGGUCCUGCCGCAGCGAUGGGGCGCCUGGCAGAGUCCUUGCUGACAGCCUGUGAUGUGUCCAGCUCAUGUCGACCUGGAGUGUUGGAGACAUGGCUGUAGUCCACAUCCAACAGUCCCACCUGAAGGAGUUUGGGGUCUUGGGCUGUUAUAUCUGGACAUGUGAUCUGACUUGUGUGCUGAGACC
rnacentral:snoRNA from 1 species